CCCCCUAUAGCGCAAUGGUUAGCGCGUUGGAAUUUUAAUCCAAAAGUCGUGGGUUAAAUUCCCUCCAGGGGUA